CCCUUAGAUGUUCUGGGCCGCACGCGCGCUACACUGACGAAGUCAGCGAGCAUGUCCUACGCCGACAGGUGCGGGGAAUCUUGUCAAACUUCGUCGUGAUGGGGAUUGAUUAUUGAAAUUCUUGAUCAUCAACGAGGAAUUCCUAGUAAGCGCAAGUCAGCAGCUUGCGUUGAUUACGUCCCUGCCCUUUGUACACACCGCCCGUCGCUACUACCGAUUGGAUGGUUUAGUGAGGCCCUCGGAUCGGCCCCGCCGGGGUCGGCCCACGGCCCUGGCGGAGCGCUGAGAAGACGGUCGAACUUGACUAUCUAGAGGAAGUAAAAGUCGUAACA
rnacentral:rRNA from 1 species